rnacentral:rRNA from 1 species
CACCGCGGUUAUACGAGUAACCCUUAUUAACACUUUAUCGGCGUAAAGAGUGGUUUAAGAAUUUUUUCCAUUAAAACUAAAGUUGAGACCCCAUCAAGCUGUUAUACGCUCUCAUGGUUGGAAUUAUCACCUACGAAAGUAACUUUAUAAUACUAGGAAACCUUGACCCCACGACAGUUAAGACC